rnacentral:rRNA from 1 species
UUCGUAGACUGCUCAUGAUACAAUAAAUAGCCGCAGUAUAACUGUGCUAAGGUAGCAUAAUAAUUUGCUUCUUAAUUAGAAGAUAGAAUGAAAGGUUUCACAUUUAAUGAUGUAUCUACUAAACAAACAAAACUAAUAAUAAAGUAAUAACCCUUUUACAACAAAGCGGGACGACAAGACCCUGAUAAACUUAUCAUUCAGUUGGGGAAACAUGUUAAUAAUUAUUUAAGAUUUCAAGCACAAAACUAAAACAAUAAAUAAAGACCAGUUACUACAGGGAUAACAGCGCAAUUUUCUUUAAGAGUCCAUAUCAAAAAGAAAGAUUACGACCUCGAUGUUGAAUUAAUUAACCUAUGUGGCGCAACAACCAUAAUUAUAGGUAGUCUGUUCGACUAUUAAACAUUUACAUGAUCUGAGUCAAAACCCGGAGA